rfam:Myotis lucifugus cont2.47760, whole genome shotgun sequence.
GCCAGUGUGGCUCAGUGGAUAGAGCAUCCGGCUGCAGACCAAAGGGUCCCGGGUUCGAUUCCGGUCAAGGGCA